GGAGGUGAUGAUGAUGAUGGAGGAGGUGGUGAUGAAGGCCCCGAGGAUGGUGGUGAUGAUGAUGAUGAUGGAGGAGGGGAUGAAGAUUAAAGGAGGAUGAAGAGGAGGAGGAAGGUGGGGAGGAAGACGAUGAAGAAUUUUGGGUCGGAAAAAAACCCAAAACUGAUUUUUUCGGACCAUGAUGAUGAAGAUGAUGAAGGUGAAGAUGAUGAAGAUGAAGAAUUUCGGGUCAAAAAAAGCCCAAAAUGGGACUUUGGGUCUCCAUGACGAUGAUGAUGAAGAUGAGGAGGAGGAGGAUGAUGAUGAAGAUGAAGAAUUUUGGGUCGAAAAAAGCCCAAAAUUGAUUUUUUUGGACCAUGGUGAUGAUGAUGAUGAUGAUGAAGGUGAGGAUGAUGAAGAUGAAAAAUUUUGGGUCGAAAAAAGCCCAAAAUUGAUUUUUUUGGACCAUGACGAUGAAGACGAUGAAGGUGAAGAUGAUGAAGAUGAAAAAUUUUGGGUCAAAAAAAGCAGAAAACAGAUUUUUUUUUUUUUUUCCAUGAUGAUGAUGAUGAAGAUGAUGAAGAAUUUUGGGUCGAAAAAAAACCCAAAAUGGGACUUUGGGUCUCCAUGAUGAUGAAGAUGAUGAUGAAGAUGAAGAAUUUUGGGUCAAAAAAGCCCAAAAUGGAUUUUUUUGGACCAUGAUGAUGAUGAUGAUGAUGAAGAAUUUUGGGUCGAAAAAAGCCCAAAAUGGAUUUUUUCGCACCAUGAUGAUGAAGAUGAUGAAGGUGAAGAUGAUGAAGACGAAAAAUUUUGGGUCAAAAAAAGCCCAAAAUAGAUUUUUUUUGGACCAUGGUGAUGAAGGUGAAGAUGAAGAAUUUUGGGAUGAAAAAAAACCCAAAAUGGAUUUUUUUGGACCAUGAUGAUGAUGAUGAUGAUGAAGAAUUUUGGGUCGAAAAAAACCCAAAAUGGAUUUUUUUGGACCAUGAUGAUGAAGAUGAUGAUGAUGAAAAUGGUGAGGAUGAUGAAGAUGAAAAAUUUUGGGAUGAAAAAAAACCCCAAAAUGGAUUUUUUCGGACCAUGAUGAUGAAGAUGAUGAAGGUGAAGAUGAUGAAGAAUUUUGGGUCAAAAAAAGCCCAAAACAGAUUUUUUUUUUUUUUUUCCAUGAGGAUGAUGAUGAAGAUGAUGAAGAAUUUUGGGUGAAAAAAAACCCAAAAUGGGACUUUGGGUCUCCAUGAUGAUGAAGAUGAGGAGGAGGAUGAAUAUGAAGAAUUUUGGGUCAAAAAAACCCAAAAUGGAUUUUUUUGAUGAUGAUGAUGAUGAUGAUGAGGAAGAUGAAGAAUUUUGGGUAAAAAAAAAUCCCCAAAAUUUAUUUUUGGUCCUCCAUAAUGAUGAUGAUGAAGGUGAAGAUGAUGAAGAAUUUUGGGUCAAAAAAAACCCAAAACGGGACUUUGGGUCUCCAUGAUGAUGAAGAUGAAGGUGAGGAUGAUGAAGAUGAAAAAUUUUGGGUUGAAAAAAACCCAAAAUGGAUUUUUUUGGACUAUGAUGAUAAUGAGGAAGAUGAAGAAUUUUGGGUCAAAAAAAACCCAAAAUUGAUUUUUUUGGACCAUGACGAUGAAGAUGAUGAAGGUGAAGAUGAUGAAGAUGAAGAAUUUUGGGUCGAAAAAAACCCAAAAUGGGACUUUGGGUCUCCAUGAUGAUGAAGAUGAUGAUGGUGAUGAUGAAGAAUUUUGGGUCGAAAAAAGCCCAAAAUGGAUUUUUUUGGACCAUGGUGAUGAUGAUGAUGAGGAAGAUGAAGAAUUUUGGGUCAAAAAAAGCCCGAAACGGGACUUUGGGUCUCCAUGAUGAUGAAGAUGAUGAAGAUGAU